AUGUGUUGAAGUGCUCUGUGGGGCUUCUUGGUACUUGCCCUUUUGCCUUGAUGAGAAGUCUGCUCUGCAUCAACCCUGCAUAAUUGAAAGUUCGGUCACCAGAUGAGAAUUUAGAAAGCCAAAGAAACAGCAACAAUGCCAGCCUGCAGUGGAUCUUUGUACUCUCCACACAUAAUCCAAGCUAAAUUAAGCAACAACCUGCUUUGCAAUUUCACAUUUAUUUUAAACACUUCUUGUAGAAUCAAAUAGUAACCUAAAGAAUCAAAACACCUAAAUAACUGAAUGCAUUCUCUCCUAAGAACUUUAAGACACCAUUAAAAGAACCAGGUAGAUAUAACACCAUAUAUAAACCCAGAAGUUCUUCCUUUAGUCUGACUAAUCUGGUUUAUUUGCAACUAAUUUUUCUGCCUAUUUUGAAAUUUGUGGUUUCUUCUUAGUAUUUUUGCCUUUAUAGCUCUCAGGCUUAUAUUGUACUAUAGAAGCAUUGUACUUGCAACCUCAAUCACAGAAAAUACAAACUGUAUUAGCAGAAUGUGGCUAUAUUUGCUAUAGAUAAAAUUCUCCCCUUGUCUAUGGAUCCACAUGUAACUUUGCCAAAAAAUCUGUCAAGUCUCUCAAGUGUGGGCCAAGUGUGAGCAAACUGUCUGUGUUUCCCAGACUGAUUUGAAAAGAUUUUCUGCAGAACCCUACAAUCCCAUAUCAGCAUUUGUUUCACCCUCUCUCUGGGUCAUUCCAAGGAAUAAUUUAUGGAAUGUCUUUAUUUUUGUAUUUGUGAAUAGUGUAAAAUCCCUGUAAUCUAUUAAUCAUCUGAACCAAUGAAAUUCACUUUUCCAUGGAUUUCUCUAGUGUUGACUCUGCUAUCAAAGAAAGUGCAGAUCCCAGCUGCACUGGGACCACUAUGCGAACAUCUCUCUCAAAUGGGUUUUCUAGUGUCUUUUAAGGUCUGAAUGAUCAGAGCAGGCAUUUCCUUCACUUGGGAUCUCAAAUAUAUUUUUUAGUUGUCCAGUAUCUACUGUCUAUGAAAUUCAGAAACUGGUUUCAGAAGUGAUUAGCAGAAGCCACAGAUAGAAAGACAGAAAAACUGAGACAAGUACACCUGUUUUCAAAAACAAACCUGGCUUGAGAGGUUUUCACAAUCAUUACAAACCUGAACAAUAAAUAUUAGACACCUGACAUAUACAUAGUAAUACAAAUAAUCUUUGUCCAGGAAACUUGGUUGAGGGCAGGGUAAGGUGUGCAGUUAAGUGUGCUAAGGAUUGACCAGCUGACAGGUCCCACAGGCAGUUUUCAGUGAAGAAUUACCACUGAAUUAGCGUGUUUCUACAGCGUUAAACUGGCAUUGGGCUUCACCCGAUUUAAAAUUUGCAUCUGCCAUCUGGCAGUAAACAAAAAAUCAAGGCUGAUAACAUUGGCAGAUAACAUUGGAGAUCAGGAAAGCCACAGUGAGCAGUCAAGAUGGCAUAGCAUCCUGUGUCCCUUCAUGCAAAAUAUCAAUAUAACUAAAUGCAAAGCUACACUGAAGAGCAAGAAAUGAAUAUUCAGAACAAGAGACUGGCUACAUGCUGGAAAACAGUGACUGAAUGGGACUGGAGGUUUCAACAGACAAAUAUCUUAAUGUGAGCUUCCUUGGUGUGUGAAAGCGUUUCCAAGGUGAGUGGCUGGUCAUUUCUUUAGUGCUCCCAGGGACAUAACUUCAGCAGGCCCUAUCACCACAUGCGAUAGUGGAGAAUGUGUUGUAUGUGGAAUAGUUCAGGCUCUCAGCUCAACCCAGCCACCUACACUGAGGCUGAUGAAGGAAAUGUCACCAUAAUUGAAUUUCUGUGCAUAAUUUUACAUGAGUGAAUGAGCAAAGUGACUUAGUGGCAGAAUAAAUUAGUAUAGUAUCCAUUCAUUGUUUAAGAAAUAUUACAAUACAAAUCCUUGCUUAGAUCACAUUGAAAAUGAGUUUUGAUGUCUCUUCUUAGUUCUGGUUUUUCCACAUGAAAGGCCCAGGAUACAAACAGCAAUGGUAUCACAGGUCACAAGCUUCAUACUUUUCAGGGACUAUCUCCCAGCAGUGCCUGUCUAUAACCAAUCCUAGAGUUUUCAUAAACAGCACAUUAAGAGCUGAUAUUUUUUAAACAACAAUGAAGAAAACUCUGAACAGGUAAACCUGAGGGAAAUAGGUCAUAUUAAUGGCAAGCAUAUUUUUCAUCACACAAUAGGACAAAAUUUUUUUUCUGGGGGGAAAAAUUAGCAACUUUUUCAAAUGUUCUUUCUUCCCCAAAUAAUAUGAAAACUAUAAUGUGACACUGCACUGAUGUGUGAACUAAACAUAUUCUUAAGAAAUAGGGUCAGCUGUAGAGGCAGACAGCAUGCUACCCUAUGGGACCUUCUGUCCACACCUGGCAACUUGUAGUCAGAAGCAUCUGGCAUCAGGCUGCAUGACUAAAAGCAUUUUAAGGACCCCUAUGCAUAGACUAAUAUAAGAUCAACUCCAGUACACAAAAACUCCUCAAAAAGCAUUUUGCAUGAGCUGAAGUAUUAUUUUAGAGGUCUGCAGAGGUUAGGAGCAUAGUAGCCACUACCGAGUGCUGACCACCAUGGUGCUGAGUAGACAGCUGAAGAGUGGGAGUACUCAGCUGGAUAAAAAACAAAUAAGUACAUUAAUUGGGAAAACAGAGAAGUAAGUUUAUCUGUUGCACAGGGAACCAGGCAGGUGGCACAGAAAUGUCUGGCAACUACUUCUAGUUGUGAUUAACAUCCAUCAAAACGGAGGCUUUCCAGCAGGUCCACAGACUAAGCCCUGUCAUGUCAUUGGAUGGUGAUGUAAAGCCUACAAUGAAUUUCAUUCGCUAAUGAACAGGGCUUCAGCAGAUGAAGGACUAGAUCCACUCAAAUAAAAAAUGGUAGAAGUGAGAAAGUUGGUAAAUGUGAUUUUUUAACUUUUUUUUUUUUUGCAUGCAGACAUGAACCAUCUAUUUUAUGCACUCUUUAAAUCACAGAAAAAAAACUCUAGUACUUUUUUCUGCCAUACACCUGUACUACAGCCAUGAUCAACAGUUUCCUUGAAGUAACUAUUAUUUUUACAGUAGCAGUACUAGUGUAUUUUAACUAUGAAAGGCUUUUACAUUAAAAAAUAUUUACGUUGUGAUAAGUAUUUCCAUUAGAUUUAGAGAUUUGUAUUGGACAUUCAACAUAGACAGUAUCCAAAAAAGAGCUACGGCUGUUCAUUGUAAUAAAGCUAAAAAGGAAAAGAGGGAAUACAAUAAACCACAAACUUGUAACAUGCUUCUGUGAGAGAAAAAAUGGGUUUAUGUAUUAAGACAAGCUUAUUGAUAUGAUAAAGUUAAUUUAGUGUAAACAAGUACCCUUUAUCAAGAAUACUGUAACAUAAUCGUAAAAACGUAGAAAAAACGAAAUACCAUCAGUUUACCUUGGUUUCUUUAUAGGCUGGUAUUAAGGACUUAAAGCACUCAGAUAUGAAAUUUAUAUAAUGAUCAAUACAUUUCCUUAUAUAUUCUUUCAAAUGCAAUUUCAUUUUUAGUUGUAAUCAUUUUAAACAGCUUUUAUAGCAUCACAGCCGCAGACUAAUGCCAUUCAUCUGAGGGAAACACCCCACUUUCACAACUGUCUAUCUGAACCGUACGGCCAAAGCCAUGAGUGCUGUAAUUUCAGAAUAGCAGACCAGGCAUAUGCUUUUAUACAUCAGAGUGUAAUGGGCUAUGAGUGAUCUGAGACAGCACCAGGUUAGUUGGAAACAGUACCUAAAAGCUUGGAGAUGCUGAACACAAAAAUACAUUGUGAUAGAGGUUUGAAAAAGUAUAUCUGUAUGCAAAUUUUUUUGCUACUUUUCUCCUGACAGUAACAGCAACCACAUGCCUGUUGCAAGUAAAAAUAAACGACGAAAGAAUACAGAAUCUGCAUGUCCACUUGCUUUCCUCAAAACAAGUUAUCUUAAGGGAGUAAUGUGGCCUGCAAAAGAAAAGAAAUACUUCAAAGGCUAAAUUCAGCUGAACAGGAGGGUAAAGGUAGAAACACAAAUGAGAUAAAAGAAACUGACAAGAGAUAAGAACUGAGUGGUGCCCUGUGGCAGGAUCAGAGGGAGUGGGCACUAACUGAAACAUAGAAGGAUCCUUCUGAACAUCAGGAAACAGCUUUUUACUCUGUGGGUGACAGCACUGGCACAGGUUGCCCAGGGAGGCUUAUGGACGUUAUCACCGACCUUGAAGAUAUUCAAAAGCUGUCUGAACAUGGUCCUGGGUAACCAGCUUCAGAUGGCCCAGCUUGAACAAGGAUUGGACCAAAUGACCUCCAGAGGUCCCUUUCAAUCUCAGGAACUGUGGUUCUGUAGCACUUGUCCAGUAGAUUUAGACUACUUGGUCCAAGUAAAUGCUGUUAUUACUUUCUUUCUUACCAAACACUACUGAUCAAAUUUUUUACCUUGACCUUACAGAGAAAAGGUGCCUGCAGUACCUCUACAGAAGUAGAUGAAUAAAGCAGAGUAAUCACAGCCCAAUGCUAUACCUCCUAAGAUGUCAGCCAGCAAUGGCUAUUGCCCUCCAAUCCAAUUAAUUAAAGAGUAUUUCUAAAAGAUACCAUAAUUCCUUGCAUUUGCGCAAGUUUCCUGUAGGACAGAUUUCUAGUGACCUUAGCAAGAGUCUGUAAUUACUCAUGACAUAAAGGCCCCUUUUCAGUGCUCAAGAAAGUGAGGAGCAGCUUCGUACCAUCUAGACGACAGUUCAAGAUGAGCAGCAUUAACUUUAAAUAGCAAAUUAAUCUUUUUAUAGACUAUGCUUAAUCCUUGGGCAGAACCUUACAGUUAUUAGCACCACCUGGUGCAAUAUGCAUAAAAUUUGCUGCCACUGUUGAGACAAUCCAAAGCUUAUGCUAGAUUUCAAUUCCACUUAAGGUUUCAAAUAAGGAUUUAAAUGGGGUUUUGGAAUGUGGAGUGAAAGGGCUGGUUAAGCUAGUCAUUUCCCAAGGUGGUGCACUUGCUGUGAACUCAUUGUGUGUGGUUUCUAGGCCUAAAUAUGCAAAGUAAUAGAAUAUGCCUUCAAUAAAUUUUAUAAAUAAAUUCUGACUAUACAUAUCAUUUUAAAUAUGGGUUUCAUAUAGAUGAUAAAAUAUGUUGUAAAACAAUAAAAAGAACAAUGUCUUAUCUGGU